GGACCUUUAGCUCAAUCGGUAGAGCUUUGUACUUAUGAGGUUACCCUGACCUGUAUAUGCAAGGGUCCCGAGUUCGAUUCUCGGAAGGUCCA